rnacentral:rRNA from 1 species
UACGUAGACCUCAAGCGUUAUCCGGAUUUAUUGGGCGUAAAGAGUAUGUAGGGGGUUCGGUGCGUCUUUUGUUAAAUCCCACCGCCUAACGGUGGAUCUGCAAGAGAUACGAUCGGACUAGAGGGAGUCAGAGGUGUGUAGAACGCACGGUGUAGGGGUGAAAUCCGUUGAUAUCGUGCGGAAUACCAAAGGCGAAGGCAGCACACUGGGACUUUCCUGACCCUGAGAUACGAAAGCGUGGGGAGCAAAAAGG